CAUUACAGAAAGUAAACGCGGAUCAAACCGCGAACUUCUAAACCUUUGACGAUUGACUCAUGUUGCCUCGGCGGGUGCUCCCGCCAGAGGAUACAUCAAAACUCCUGUUUUAACGGUGUUGUCUGAGCUACAAGCAACGAAUCAAAACUUUCAACAACGGAUCUCUUGGUUCUGGCAUCGAUGAAGAACGCAGCGAAAUGCGAUAAGUAGUGUGAAUUGCAGAAUUCAGUGAAUCAUCGAAUCUUUGAACGCACAUUGCGCCCCUUGGUAUCCCGAGGGGCAUGCCUGUUCGAGCGUCAUUUCACCACUCAAGCCUGGCUUGGUGUUGGGCGACGUCCCCUUUGGGGACGCGCCUCGAAACGCUCGGCGGCGUGGCACCGGCUUUAAGCGUAGCAGAAUCUUUCGCUUUGAAAGUCGGGGCCCCGUCUGCCGGAAGACCUACUCGCAAGGUUGACCUCGGAUCAGGCAGGGAUACCC
rnacentral:rRNA from 1 species